rnacentral:RNase_P_RNA from 1 species
GAAACAGGUCGAUCUGUCGCUCCGGCUUCCGCCGGGGAGGAAAGUCCGAACAGCGCAGAGCAUCAUGCUACCUAACGGGUAGGGGAGAUUGGAUCUCCACAGCCAGUGCCACAGAAAAUUACCGCCUUUAGUCUGACUAAAGGUAAGGGUGAAAAGGAGGUGUAAGAGACCCCCACGUAUAUUGUGAAAUAUGCGGUUCAGGUAAACCUCAUGAGCUGAAAGACCAAAUAAACCGGCGUUAAGGGUAGCUCGCCCGGGCCGGAGGGUAGGUUGAUGGAGGGGGCAGGUGACUGCUUUCCCAGAUAAAUGACAGAAUAGAACAGAAUUCGGCUUACGGGCCUGUUUCCAUU